rnacentral:rRNA from 1 species
GGUGAACGCUGGCGGCGUGCCUAAUACAUGCAAGUCGAGCGAAUGAAUUAAGAGCUUGCUCCUAUGAAGUUAGCGGCGGACGGGUGAGUAACACGUGGGUAACCUGCCCAUAAGACUGGGAUAACUCCGGGAAACCGGGGCUAAUACCGGAUAACAUUUUGAACCGCAUGGUUCGAAAUUGAAAGGCGGCUUCGGCUGUCACUUAUGGAUGGACCCGGGUCGCAUUAGCUAGUUGGUGAGGUAACGGCUCACCAAGGCAACGAUGCGUAGCCGACCUGAGAGGGUGAUCGGCCACACUGGGACUGAGACACGGCCCAGACUCCUACGGGAGGCAGCAGUAGGGAAUCUUCCGCAAUGGACGAAAGUCUGACGGAGCAACGCCGCGUGAGUGAUGAAGGCUUUCGGGUCGUAAAACUCUGUUGUUAGGGAAGAACAAGUGCUAGUUGAAUAAGCUGGCACCUUGACGGUACCUAACCAGAAAGCCACGGCUAUCUACGUGCCAGCCGCCGCGGUAA